UACGUAGGGUGCGAGCGUUGUCCGGAAUUACUGGGCGUAAAGAGCUCGUAGGUGGUUUGUCGCGUUGUCCGUGAAAACUCACAACUCAAUUGUGAGCGUGCGGGCGAUACGGGCAGACUAGAGUACUGCAGGGGAGACUGGAAUUCCUGGUGUAGCGGUGGAAUGCGCAGAUAUCAGGAGGAACACCGGUGGCGAAGGCGGGUCUCUGGGCAGUAACUGACGCUGAGGAGCGAAAGCGUGGGGAGCGAACAGG
rnacentral:rRNA from 1 species